rnacentral:rRNA from 1 species
UACGUAGGUCCCGAGCGUUGUCCGGAUUUAUUGGGCGUAAAGGGAACGCAGGCGGUCUUUUAAGUCUGAUGUGAAAGCCUUCGGCUUAACCGGAGCAGUGCAUUGGAAACUGGGAGGCUUGAGUGCAGAAGAGGAGAGUGGAACUCCAUAUGUAGCGGUGAAAUGCGUAGAUAUAUGGAAGAACACCAGUGGCGAAAGCGGCUCUCUGGUCUGUAACUGACGCUGAGGUUCGAAAGCGUGGGUAGCAAACAGG